rnacentral:tRNA from 1 species
GGGAGGGUAGCUCAGCAGUAGAGUGCAUGCCUUGCAAGCAUGAGACCCUGGGUUCGAUUCCUCAGCACCA